GGUGCGGCCCCCCUUACAGGCCCAGUUGGAGGCUGGACAUGGCAGAGAGCUUUCCAUCGAAUUCUCUGAGGCCAGAAAAACAGAUGGAGGCGAUGCCUGGGCUCUCUCCAGCAAUCGGCAAUAGGCAAUCGGCUGUGUGCUGAGAACAAGGGCUCAUCCUACUGCCUCCUUCCUUCUGAAUGUGAGCACCAGGGGACCAGGACCAGAGGCUCGCCCCCACCACUGCAAAGUGGGGCUGGGCCCCGCAGACUGAAGGCCCCCAAUUUUGCCUUACGUCUUCGCCGGAAGGAGCACAUCUUCACGCAACGCGCUCCAGUGUUCUGAGCCACCAAAACGACCCCAGGGUGCCAACUUACAUGCUUUCUUACUCCUGUGAACCUGUGGAAGACCUCAGACUUCUCUUCAAAUGACACCGAACAUUGUACCUCUCUUUCUCAUUCUCUUUUCCCCAAUUUAUACUGAUAAUUCCUUCUUAACAUGGGCACAGCAUUUUGCUGAACUUCAAAAUCGAACAGCUUGCCAGAUACAUAGGAUUCUGCCUGUUUUGGGCACAU